rnacentral:rRNA from 1 species
CAGUAGCCGCGGUAAUGCGUAGGGUGCGAGCGUUAAUCGGAAUUACUGGGCGUAAAGCGUGCGCAGGCGGUUAUGUAAGACAGUUGUGAAAUCCCCGGGCUCAACCUGGGAACUGCAUCUGUGACUGCAUAGCUAGAGUACGGUAGAGGGGGAUGGAAUUCCGCGCGUAGCAGUGAAAUGCGUAGAUAUGCGGAGGAACACCGAUGGCGAAGGCAAUCCCCUGGACCUGUACUGACGCUCAUGCACGGAAGCGUGGGGAGCAAACAGGAUUAGAUACCCCUGUAGUCCCUGUCUCUUAUAC